UCAACCAAACAAGUUGUAUUUCAUUUACCUGAAGGGCCUAAACUUACAUUCAAGGGGAACAGUGUUAUACCUCCUUCAUAUUUAAUUUCCUCUACGAAAGCAAAUAAGCUGAUUAAUAAAGGGUGCAAGGAAUUUCUAUGUUCGGUACUCAUAGGGUCAACUACUACUAAACCCGGUGUUGGUAAUAUUCCUGUGGUGAAGGAAUUUCUAGAUGUGUUUCCAGAUGAUUUGCCUGGGAAUUUAAUUGAUAGAGAGAUUGAGUUUACUAUUGAGUUAGCCCCAGGUACCCAACCAAUUUCUAAGACCCCAUAUCGGAUGUUAACUACUGAGUUAAAAGAGUUGAAAACUCAAUUACAAGAAUUGUUUAAUAAGAAAUUUAUCAGGCCUAGUACUUCUCCGUGGUGUGCUCCGGUACUAUUUGUCAAAAAGAAGGAUGGAACUUUAAGACUCUGUAUUGAUUACCGGGAAUUGAAUAAGGUGACAAUAAAAAACAAAUACCCGUUGCCACGUAUUGACGAUUUGUUUGACCAGCUGUAAGGGACACAAGUAUUUUCUAAAAUUGAUCUGCGGUCUAGAUAUCACCAACUAAAAGUUAAAGCCGAGGAUGUAGAGAAGACUGCUUUUCGAACCAGAUGGUCACUAUGAGUUCCUCGUUAUGCCUUUCAGAGUUACUAAUGCACCAGCUGCUUUUUAUGGAUUUAAUGAACAGAGUUUUUAAGCCAUUUCUUGAUGAAUUCAUUGUAGUCUUUAUCAAUGACAUUUUGGUCUAUUCUAAGAGCAAGAAAGAAUAUGAACAUCACUUGAGACUUACUCUUCAAAUGCCGAGGGAGAGGAAAUUAUAUGCUAAGCUGUCGAAAUGUGAAUUUUGGUUAAAUAGUGUGUCAUUUUUGGGGCAUGUGAUAAUGAAAGAGGGUAUUUCUGUUGAUCCACAAAAAUUGGUCGAGGCCAACGAAUGUAACAGAGGUUCACAGUUUCUUGGGCAUCGCUGGAUACUAUUGCAGAUUUGUGAAGGACUUCUCCAAGAUUGCUAUGCCACUCACUCAGUUGACAUAAUAAGGGGUACCAUUUGAGUGGACUGACCAACGAGAAGCAGCCUUUCAGGAGUUAAAGAUGAGACUCGUGACAGCACCAAUUCUUACUUUACCCUCUGGCACAGAUGGUUUUACCGUCUAUAGUGAUGCUUCCUAUAAAGGUUUGGGGUGCGUGUUGAUGCAAAAUGGAAGAGUAAUUGCCCAUGCGUCCCGUCAGCUAAGACCACAUGAAAAAAGUUACCCGACUCACGAUCUGGAGUUAGCUGCAGUGAUUUUUGCGUUAAAGAUUUGGCAUCACUAUUUAUAUGGGGUUAUAUGCGAGGUGUAUACGGACCACAAGAGUUUAAAAUAUUUCUUUACUCAGAAGAGGCUAAACAUGAGGCAGCGAAGAUGGCUCGAGUUAAUUAAGGAUUAUGAUUUACAAAUCAUGUAUCAUCCUGGGAAAGCUAAUACAGUGGCCGAUGCCCUUAGUCGAAAAGUCGUGGAAAACUUGGCCUGUUUACUCACCAGACAGGAAACAAUAGUAUGUGAGCCAAUGCUAGUUGAGGAGAUCAAAAAUAAACAGUUGCAAGACGAGUUCUUCAAGAAAAUAGUAGAUGCAUGGGAUUCCAAACCUAGAUUGGCAUUCAGUUUAGAGGAUGGCGUACUCAAAUUCCAAGGACGGUUAUGUGUUCCUAAUGACAAUGAGGUAAAGAAACAAACUCUUCAAGAAGCCCGCAAUUCCAAAUUCUCUAUUUAUCUAGGAAAUGCGAAAAUGUAUCAGGACCUAAAGAAAAAUUUCUGGUUGGCGGGGAUAAAAAGGGAAAUUGCAGAAUUCUUAUCAAAAUGUUUGCAAUGUCAACAAGUUAAAACAGAACAUCAACGACCUGCAUGAUUACUUCAACCAUUGCCUGUACCGGAGUGGAAAUGGGAACAUAUUACAAUGGAUUUCGUGGUUGGUUUGCCUUGCUCCAACAAAGAUAUGGAUUCUAUCUAGGUAAUUGUGGAUCGAUUAACCAAAUUCGCUCAUUUUUUACCUGUUAAGGCCACAUAUGCUGUGGAUAAGUUGGCUAUCUUGUAUGUGAAUGAAAUUGUGAGAUUGCAUGGAGUUCCUGUAUCUAUCGUAUCAGACAGAGAUCCGAAGUUUACUUCAAGGUUUUGGCAAAGUUUCCAAAAGGCACUAAGGACAGAGUUGAGAUUGAGCAGUGCAUACCAUCCCCAAACAGAUGGCCAACCAGAGAGGACAAUUCAGACACUUGAGGAUAUGUUACGUAUGUGUGUAUUGGAUUUCCAAGGAAAUGGGGAAACACAACUUUCAUUCUAGCAUUGACAUGGCACCCUACAAGGCCUUAUACGACCGAAAAUGUCUGUCACUAAUCUGUUGGGUGGAAGUUGGAGAGAGACCAUUAUUAGGACCUAACCUUGUGCAACAAACCACUGAAAAAGUGAAGAAAAUUCAGCAACGGCUGAAAACUGCUCAAAGUCGACAGAAAAGCUAUGCUGAUAUACGUAGACGAGAAAGAGAAUACGAAGUAGGCAACCAUGUCUUUAUUAAAGUUACGCCAAUGAAGGGAUAUGCUCGUUUCGGGAUUAAGGGUAAGCUAGCGCCUCGUUACAUCGAACAGUACGAAAUUAUUGAAAAACUGAGUCCAGUGGCGUACCGAAUAGCUCUACCUACAGAUAUGACACACAUGCAUAAUAUCUUUCAUAUCUCCAUGCUAAGGGAGUCUCUUUUGGACCCUCAAGAAGUUGUUGAGCCUACCCAUAUAUCUAUAAGUGAUAAUUAUAUGUAUGCAGAACGACCUCUUCGGAUUGUUAGUCGUCGAAUCAAAAAGUUGAGAAAUAAAGAAAUUCCAUUGGUAAAGGUGGCUUGGAAAAACCAUAAUGGCCUGUAUGCAACUUGGGAACGAGAAGUUGAGAUGCACGAGACAUAUCCUGAACUCUUUCCAUUAGAUCCUACACUCUUCACUGAAUAAGGUACUUGAAUUUGGAAGACCAAAUACCCUAAGGGGGAGAGACUGUAACACCUGUCUUCCUCCUUAACUGUUGUUUUUAUGAUUACUUUUAUGCUUAAUUUGGAUCAUGCAUUUAUUCGAGCUUUAUAUGUCUAUUAUAAGCAUUGUGUCUGUUAACAGAUAUGUUCUUUGUGAAAAGAUCUGUCCGAUUCGUUAACUUGUAAUGCUCUGUUAUUAAUUAAAUGAGGAUGUAGGUGGUAGAGCCUAGUUUAUUCUAACUAGCUGAAGAGGGAGUUAAUUAGUUUAAGUUGUGAUAAGAGAUAAUUUAAUGGAAGUGGAUAUAAGUGGAAAUUAUUUAAAACCAAGUAACCUAGCAUUAUAUCUAUAUAUAUAAAUGUUUGAUUGGCCUCAAGUGAGGAAAAGGAAAUAUCAUCUGAGAAGGGAGAGAGAGAGAGUUCUAGAGAAGUGAACAAGAAGAGAAGGGAAGAAGAAAGAGUGCAAGUGUGUGAUCACUCCAUCAACUUGACUCUUUAGGGUAAGAAUUCCCUCACUCCUUUCUUAUAUUUAGGUAGUUUUCACUCUAAACUCUUGAAAUUGAAAUGGAGAGUAAGGGUUUGGGUAGUAUAGGAGGUACUACAAACCUGUUUUGGCUUGAAUUACUUGGCUUUGUAUGUUUCUAACUAAAUUCUCUUAGUUUGGUGGAAGAAAUGGAAGUUCAAUAUGUAUGGAUGUUAUUUUCUUUUGGCCUUGAAAUUGUUUAAGAGCUUGUAGAAUUUGAGUUUGAAUCUUUGGUUUCAUUCUUAAAUUGAGUAUAGAAAUUAAUUGUACACCAUGUUUAUGAAUUUGUGAUCUUUGAUUUAAUGGAUUUUGGGUUUGAUUUUGAGGAAGUUGGAACCCCAAAAUAGAGCAAAAAUUCAGUUCUGGAACACCUAGAACCGCACGUGCGGCUAGAGAGCCCACAUGUACGGGAGAGCAUCGACACACGUGUGGUGAGUCGGCCCGCACGUGCGGAUUUCAGGGGAAACUUGGGGGUUGCAUUCUGUUUAAAAAGCACGUAGGAGCGCACGUGCAGAGAGAGUCUCGUACGUGCAGCCAGGGGACUCCGCACGUACGGCUGUUUGGCUGCCCCAGAUUCAUUUUUCUGGGUUGUUUACUCCACUCUCGAGCCUCCGUUAGCAUGUUUUACACCCAUAAUUACGGUCCAUGCGCAUUGCAUGAGCUUUUAGCAGAAGUUAAUGUUUAGGCGAAAUAAUUCCUAAACAAAGAAACCAAUAAGUUAAAUAUAUGUCACUUAAGCAUUUUACAUUUAUAUUUGUCUGUGUAGGUCAAACGCCAAGUGCCAGUCACUCGCAUCUCGGUAUACACUGUGAGUAAUGCUUCUACGAAUAUGUAUAAUUUAAUUUAUCUUUCUCUGCUUCAACUUAUACGUUAUUCGGAUAUAUCUCUCAUAUGACUGAAUGAUGAUUCUAUUCCAGUUGUCACUAGCUACUAUGAUCAUUUUGGGCACCUCUUCAUAUAAGUACAGUUUUAUCAGUUCCAUUCCUUGGAACUCCUGCUUGACAUGAUAAUGGCUAUCGUAUCGGUUUAUCAGUCUUUAUGACCGUCUGUUUGGUCUUCUUGACCGUCUGUCCGGUACCCGUGACUAGACCGCCUGUAUUUACGGCUUGUGAGUGUAUUACGCGAAUAUCUUACACAAAAGGUUAUGUUUUUCAAGGUAACCCAGCUCAAGAAAAGAUGUAGUGGCGUCAGUCUUACUCCGGUUUUGUUGAGCUAUCCGUUGUGCCUCACUGCAAGGUUCCCACUUACUCAAGUUUUGAUGUGACUAAUGUCCUCCCUUCUGUGAAGUGCCCAUGUGUUGGUCAGGACUUGUGACUAUGGGAGUGUCUUUUCUUCCUUUUGGCUGUCUUUUAAACAAACUUGUUGUACUUUCUCGUGGGUAUAUAUGGUUAUAUGCACAACAAUGCCUUUUGCCUCAUGUAAAUGCACGACUCAAUGGACGUUCUAUUUCUUAUAUUAAAGCUUUCGCUAGCCCCAUUUUUUUACUUUGCUCAGUUAGGCCUUCGGUAAUCGAGGAUUACUGGCUGGUUACGGUCCCAAACCUAUAGGGACGGGUUUGGGUCGUGACAGAGUGGUAUCAGAGCACGAGUUGUACCGCACACACGCGUCCAAAUGAGCUAUAGGAUGUCCUAAAGAAGAGAUUAGGGCAUAUUAUCUUCAUGUAUGGUGUAUUUAGUAAGUUUUAUGGUGAUAAUACAUGUAUAAACUCUAUAUGUCCUAUGUUUAUUGUCUUUUUGUUUAUGUAUUUAAGUCGAUGGAGAACACAAGACCUGUAGAGACAUCCGAGUCUUCUGAAGCAAGGAUGGAUCGAUUAAAGCGAAUGGUGGAGUUGUUGACAGAAGCACUAAGACAACAACAGAGACAGCCCUUCCCACCUCCACCUCCACCUCCACCUCCGCCACCAGUUCUAGUAGAGUCGCCCAACAAUGGUGACAUUAUUGCUCUAAUACAGAAAUUCAACAAGUUGAAACCGCCCACGUUUCUGGGAGGCUUGGAACCGUUGAAAGCUGAAGCCUCGAUUUUGGAGAUUGAAAAGUUGUUUGAAGUAUUUCUAUGCACCGAAGAAUAAAAAGUUUUGUUAGCAACUUUUACCCUGCAAGAGGAAGCGAGAAGAUGGUGGAUGCUCUUUCAGAAUCAACAGACUGCUAUGGCUUGGGCACAGUUUAAAGAAGUUUUCUAUGAAAAGUAUUUUCCACAGUGUGUAAGAGACUGUAAGGUGUCGGAAUUCGAGCAGCUCAAGUAGGGUACUAUGACAGUAGCGGAAUAUGAGGCCAAAUUUACAGAGCUUGCGCGCUAUGCGCCGCAUAUGGGACAUCGAUUACAAAAAAGUUAGAAAAUUUGAAGGUGGUUUGGCUGUUGAGGUUCUUGAUCGAGUUAAUGUACUAAAAUUGGAAAAAUACGUUGACGUUUUGAAAAGGUCUAUCAUAGUUGAAGCAAACGUUGCUGCUCUAACACAAGCGAAGGUGCCGGUGAGUGAAUGGAAGGGAAAAAAGGUCGGGAUUUAAUUCUAAGAAGGGUCGAAGCAACUUCAAUUCUCCACCAAACAAGAAACAGAACACAUGAUCAUUCACUAACUCAAGUCAGGGGAAUGACACACCCAUCUGCUCGGAGUGUGGAAAAAUACAUAAGGGAGUUUGCCGUAGAAUUUCUGGUUCAUGCUUUCGGUGUGGAAAAACAGGCCAUAUGAUUAAAGAUUGUCCUUUGGUUUCUCAAGGCACAAGCCAGUCAAGGACUAAUUCAACUACAUCAGUGUCAGCACCACAGGGAAAUUCGAAGGCAGCUACAAGGAAAAAAACUCUAAAACAAGGACUGGUUUUUGCAUUGGUGCCGGGCGACGUGCAGACUACAGAGAUGGUUAUGUCAGGUUUGAUUUUGAGGAAGUUGGAACCCCAAAAUAGAGCAGAAAUUCGGUUCUGGAACACCUAGAACUGCACGUGCGGCGAGGGAGCCCGUACGUGCGGAAGAGCAUCGACGCAAGUGCGGCGGGUAGGCCCGCACGUGCAGAUUUCAGGGGAAACUUAGGUUGCAUUCUGUUUAAAAAGCACGUAGGAGCGCACGUGCAGAGAGAGUCUCGUACGUGCAGCCAGGGGACUCCGCACGUACGGCUGUUUGGCUGCCCCAGAUUCAUUUUUCUGGGUUGUUUACUCCACUCUCGAGCCUCCGUUAGCAUGUUUUACACCUGUAAUUACAAUCCAUGCGCAUUACAUGAGCUUUUAGCAGAAGUUAAUGUUUAGGCAAAAUAAUUCCUAAACAAAGAAACCAAUAAGUUAAAUAUAUGUCACUUAAGCAUUCUACAUUUAUAUUUGUCUGUGUAGGUCAAACGCCAAGUGCCAGUCACCCGCAUCUUAGUAUACACUGUGAGUAACACUAUUAUGAAUAUGUAUAAUUUAAUUUAUCUUUCUCUGCUUCAACUUAUACGUUAUUCGAAUAUAUCUCUCAUAUGACUGAAUGAUGAUUUUAUUCCAGUUGUCACUAGCUACUAUGAUAAUUUUGGGCUUCUCUUCAUAUAAGUACAGUUUUAUCAGUUCCAUGCCUUGGAAUUCCUGCUUAACAUGAUAAUGGCUAUCGUAUCGGUUUAUCGAUCUUUAUGACCGUCUGUUCAGUCUUCUUGACCGCUUGUCCGGUCUCCGUGACCGUCUGUUUGGUCUUUUAGACCGCCUGUAUUUACUGCUUGUGAGUGUACUACGCGAAUAUCUUACACAAAAGGUUAUGUUUUUCAAGGUUCGUAUGAACAUACUUAGCUUGUAUUCAUUUUGUAUUAUAAUCAUCAUUUAUAUUCUCUUCAUUCUGUUAUUAUUCACUGGGCCCUAGCUCACAUUUUGAUAUAUCAUGUAGGUAACCCAGCUCAAGAAAAGAUGUAGUGGCGUCAGUCUUACUCCAGUUUUGUCGAGCUAUCCGUUGUGCCUCACCGCGAGGUUCCCACCUACUCAAGUUUUGACGUGACUAAUGUCGUCCCUUCUGUGGAGCGCCCGUGUGUUGGUCAGGACUUGUGACUAUGAGAGUGUCUUUUCUUCCUUUUGGCUGUCUUUUAAACAAACUUGUUGUACUUUCUCGUGGGUAUAUAUGGUUAUAUGCACAACAAUGCCUUUUGCCUCAUGUAAAUGUACGGCUCAAUGGGCGUUCUGUUUCUUA